UACGGAGGGCGCAAGCGUUGUUCGGAAUCACUGGGCGUAAAGCGCGUGUAGGCGGCCCGGCAAGUCGGAUGUGAAAUCCCGAGGCUCAACCUCGGAACUGCACUCGAAACUGCCUGGCUCGAGUCCCGGAGAGGGUGGCUGAAUUCCCGGUGUAGGGGUGAAAUCCGUAGAUAUCGGGAGGAACACCAGUGGCGAAGGCGGCCACCUGGACGUUGGCUGACGCUGAGACGCGAAAGCGUGGGGAGCAAACAGG
rnacentral:rRNA from 1 species